CUGGACAUCUGUAGCUGUAUCUGAGAAAGAAUAGAAAUAUAAGCAGGGUGUGUUCACUGUACACAUUUUCAAUAUAUGCUGAAGAUGCAUUAGUGGGACUAUCUGAGCAGAGGAAGAGCUUAUACUCUACUUACAGAAUAGCAAUAUUUCUAUAGACUUCUUCUGCUAUGAGUAUCCGGCCCAGUAUGUUUACGUUAUUGUUAAUAGUUUUUAUUUAAAAUAAGGUUUAAAGUCAGGACAGGUAUAACAAUAUAGUGGAAUUAUAUAUAAUUAUCUCAGAAACACAAGAGUCUA